AAAAAGUGAAAAAAAGAACUGAAGAGAGUGGGAUUCGAACCCACGCCCCCGAAGGGACUGGUGCCUUAAACCAGCGCCUUAGACCGCUCGGCCAUCUCUCCACAUU
ensembl:ncRNA F08F1.14 ncRNA